rnacentral:lncRNA from 1 species
UGGUGUUCCACAGCCAGGGCACCCAGACUCCUCCCUGCUCUGCCCUCACCCCUGUGGUCCUCUGGGUUCUCAUCUGUGACCCCAGAGGGUCCCUUCUGAUUUGGUGAUCUGGCCGUCCUCCAUGCCCUGGGGCCAUUUGGACUCAGAUAGAUGUUUGCACUUGUCCUUCUCUGUUGUGUGACACUUGGUAAGUCGACUGGCCUGUCUUAGGCUUGGCUGUAAAGCUGGGACAGGAAUGAUGGCUCACCUACGUGGAUGCCCCCCUUUACCUCAGAGGUGAUUAUCCCCAUUUUACAGAUGUACAGGCUGAGGCUCAGAGAGGUGGAGACACGUGCCAAGGUCAGAGCUGGGGAGCAGCAGAGCUGACAUGGGAUCCCUGUGUGUCUGACCCAAAGUCUGGCUCUCAGAUACCACCCUUUGCCUCCUUUCUAGAACUUUCUUCACAGAGAUGUCAUGAGGGUGAGACAAAGCUGUUGACGUGUUCUGCACAGACCAAGCUCCCAGUAAAAACUCGGGAUGGCGAACUCACUCCCUCAGAAGCAAGGCGUCACCUGUGAUGUGUCAGGAAGGAAUGACAGGCUUCUGAGGAUCCUCUGCAGCUCUGAGAAUUCUGCCUGGGGAGUUCUGGGGAACAGGAAGAGUCUUGGGAAGGGCUUCUGGACCCCAUUUGUGACUCAGGCCUGUCUUUUUGUUGUUUCUGGUUCUGGUUUAUUACCUUGUCUCAGAACCAAUGCCUGUGGCUCCCCAGUGACUCUGCUGGUGGCAUCUUCUGAUGUCUCUACUCCCCCUUCCCCUGCAUGCCUGGCAAAUUCUUGAUCUUGUAUUCCCUAGGGGAAAAGAGGGGAAUCUGCAAAGUCAUGUUUUCCCUCAGGAUGUGGAGAGAGAAAUUUCUAACCUCAGUGAUGCCUGCUAAAUUAUACUUAAGAAGGGGGCCAGGCACUGGCAUAUUUGCUAAGCAUUCCCCAUAUGCUUCCCUCUUUCCCCCAUGAGAGCUCCUUUUCUCUAAAAUACUGCAUGGGAGGGAUUAUUAUCCCUACUUUAAUAGAGGCAAUUAAAGCUAUGCAUGUUCCUCUAAGCACUGCUUUAGCUGCACCCCACACUUUGUGAUAAGUCAUUUCUCAUUCUCAUCUCAUUUGAAAUAUUUUUCAAUUUCCCUUGUGUUUUUUUUCUUUGACCUAUGGAUUAUUUAGAAGUAUGUUGCUUAAUUUCCAAACAUUGGACUAUCUUAAUAUCUUAUGGUUAUUGAUUUCUAAUUUAAUUCUGUGAACAGAGAAGGUACUCUGUAUGGCUUUAAUCCUUUUAUAUUUAAGUGUACGCUCUUGAAGAAGGGACCACAAGCUCUUGAAGAGGAUAUGGAAACAGCAGUAUUUGGUUCUCUACAUAUUAAUUAACUUGAAGAGAUUGGUGCUUGGUAGCAGUGUUCAAAUUGUCUAGGUCAUUAACUUUUUUUGUGUGUGUCUAUCAGUUGCUAAGAAAAGAGUGCUGAUUUCUACUACAGUUUGGAUUUGUCUUUUUGUCCCUUUAGUUUUGUCCAGUCUUUCAUCGUGGAUUUGGCACAUUCGUGGUUGUUUUGUCUUUCAGAUGAAUCGGCGCUGUUUCCACUAUGAUGCAGCUCCUCCAUCUCUGGCAGCAUCUUUGUCUUGGCACCUCUUUUAUCUGAAUUAUUCACAUCUGGACACUGAGGUCUCUGAGGUUCGGAGAGGGAAAGUGACUUGCCCAAGGCCACACAGGUGUCAGCUCCAGGGGCAGAGUGCUCCCUUCUCAGCCCAGCUGCACACAGGUUUUCUCUACUCCAACAGUCGCUUUGGGGCCAUGGGUCUGAGAGAUGCUCCUUCCCAGUGACUUUCUGGUUUCAUGAUUGCCAGGUGGCCAGAGCUGUGUCCCCGCCUGCCCUUGGCAGAGGACCUCCCAGCAGCCCCAGAAGUCACCUCCAUGCAGAGCGCAGCAUCUGGCCUGCAGCCUGCAGAGAGCUGGGCUGAGCACGCUUGGAAUACCCACUGGAAACUUCUCACUAAGCUCUAGCUCUGGAGCUCCUGGCGCCAUCUCCCUGUUUGGUGAGAUGGUUCUGAGCAUAUUGGCCAGAUCUUCCCAGGACUCACAUGUCAUAAGAAUUUCUCUGGAUAGCAGGAGAAACGU